CACCGCCCGUCACACCAUGGGAGUCGAUUGCUCCAGAAGUGCCUGAGCCAACCGCAAGGAGGCAGGCCCAAGAGUGAUCGGUAACUGGGGUG
rnacentral:rRNA from 1 species